rnacentral:misc_RNA from 1 species
GCAAACUUGGUCAUUUAGAGGAAGUAAAAGUCGUAACAAGGUCUCCGUAGGUGAACCUGCGGAGGGAUCAUUACUGAGUGAGGGCCUCUGGCCCGACCUCCCACCCUAUGUUGUUUGACUAUGUUGCCUCGGGGGCGACCCGGCCUUUUCGGUCGGGGCCCCCGGUGGACUCUUAAACUCUGCAUCUUAGCGUCUGAGUAUAAAGUUAAAUCAAUCAAAACUUUCAACAACGGAUCUCUUGGUUCUGGCAUCGAUGAAGAACGCAGC